UCGUCUUCUUGAAUAUCGAUAAUAUCAUUAACUUUCUUUUUGAAUUUAUCUCUUUUAGCUCUAAUUUUAUCUAAAUCGACACUUCUUCUUGUCUUACGUGCAUAUUCUGUAGUCUUAUCUUGGAGUUG
rnacentral:sRNA from 20 species